UAGCCGUAAACGAUACUCGCUAGGUGUCGGCCACGGUGCGACCGUUGUCGGUGCCGUAGGGAAGCCGUGAAGCGAGCCACCUGGGAAGUACGGCCGCAAGGCUGAAACUUAAAGGAAUUGGCGGGGGAGCACAACAACGGGUGGAGCUUGCGGUUUAAUUGGAUUCAACGCCGGGAAGCUCACCGGAUAAGACAGCGGAAUGAUUGCCGGGCUGAAGACCCUGCAUGACCAGCUGAGAGGAGGUGCAUGGCGUAGUCGUGU
rnacentral:rRNA from 1 species